UGGUAUUCAUUGAUAAUGAAUUAUUCUUUUCUUUUGGAGUGUCUUUUCACUUUUAUUUUUUAUAUUUCUGGAGUUCUUUCACGGGUUCCUUCUCAUCUGGCCUCUCAAUUGAGAGCUGAGGGUAAUAGAGCUGGCUUAUGGACCUGUUUUCAAGUCCCCAAAGAUUGGUCCCUGACCAUGCCAGAGAGAGGAGUGCUGGUCCUGAGUUGCCCUUGGGGUGCUCUAGCAGAUUUAAUGAACCUCUCUGGUAAUGUCACUGCAGCAGCUCCUCUCUCAGUGGCAGGCUCUGCUGGAAUGCGCCCCUUCUGCAGAGAAACAGGCUUCUCAGCACCAAGCUUUCCUGUGGUUGCUAUGGCGGGCAAGGGCUAUGAUCUCCUUGCACUGCUCUCAUGUCUUGGGGGCACCGGGUCCUGACCACCUGUCCAAGCCACUAGCAGUUGAUCCCACAAAACGCUGCUGCUGCAGCUCUGUUCUCAGUGGCCAGUUCAGCUGAGAAUGUGAUCUCCCUGUAUAGAAACAGGUUCUCAGCACAGAAUAUUCUUGUGGUUGCCAUGGGGGGGAGGGGCCAUAGUUACAAUCCAGCUUGAGCUAAAAUUACUUUCUGUGGCUCUAGGAAUGGAGGCAGUCCAAAGGAGGAGGUGUCUAGGUAUAAAAUUUCUGGGUUUCUGGCCUCUCAUAGCACUUUCCCAGGGGGUGAGAGUUUUGUCUCACUGUGCACGGGAGUCACCCAAGUGGGGGAGGGGAGUCCAUUACCUUUUCACUGGGCUCCAGGCCUCUCUGGGUUUAGUCCACACCACUGUCCUCUCUUCUCUCUCUUUCUCUUUCUCAGCUUUGUAGCCAUUCUUGGUGGGAUCCCUGGACACCUCUGCUGUCUUCACAUCUGAGCUGCAACUGUUUUCCACUUUCCUCAGUCCAAACUUCUACCCCUCCUUGAGAACAGAUUAAAUGCUUUCUACUUUCCUCUACCUUCUCUGUCACUGGUCCUGCGGUUUGCACUAUAGUUACAGACCAAGUUCCAUGGAGAAGCUAGUUGCAAAUGUAGAGGAUCAUGGAGGCUGGCUGAUCAGGCAGGAGAGGAAAGAAGCAUAUUGUCAAGGCUGAAUGUCAGUUUGCCAUCAUCUUGCAUUCCCUGUGUGCACCAGGUCAGGGUUCUGGGAAUCCACAGUCCUGGUCACUAUGAACUACACCAGAGCUCUUGGUCCUGUAGUCCAUUUGUUUGAUGCCUUACUCUUAAUUGAAACCAGAAACAUAGGGCCAAACCUGGUAGGGUGACUGUCAACUCCCAAGUCUAUUCCCGUUGUUAAGUGAGGCAUGACUGUACCACGAGGGCACUAUGUGGAGGCAGGAUGGGUCAUCUGGCAACAGGCUUCCAAGGAGGGCUUACUUAAGGUGAAGUGCACUUAGGCUAAGCAAUCCAUCAAAGAAUAGAUGCUGGUCAUUUCCCCAGGCAGUGGCAGAGAUCAAUGCGGGUACAAUUUUGGAAAUUCAGUGUCACAAGUGAUCAAACUUCAUUGAAGAAACAAUACAAGGUGAAAUUGAUUGUAUAAAUUAUCCACAUUCAUUAAUUCAUUAACAAAUAUUUAUUCAGCCUCAACUAUGUGCUAAACACUAGGCCUUGGGGAUACAGACAGAUUCUGGCUCUCCUAGAACUUAUCCACUAUACAUUUGAAUUCCCCAAGGUAUUUAUUUAUAGCCACAGGUAAGUUGGGAAAAGGAGAGAAAGAAACAGAAUUAAAUUGUUAGAAGCCUUGUCACCUAUUACCAGCCAGCAUCUUGACAUGCAUUAUGUCACUUUACCUUCCUAACUAUCCUGUGAGACAUGUACUAUUACUUCUGCUUCAUAGAUGAGGAAACAGGCUCACAGAGAUUAAGAAACAUGUUGUCAAUUGCAGAGUUUUACAUUGCGGGUUAGAAAGCAGUUUUCACUCAUUCCAAAGUCUGUGAUGUUCCACCUGCUACUCCGCCUUGCUAGUUAUGAUUGAUAUUAAGCAUAUACUUGGUUUACUAGAAGCUUUCUCAAAGUAUAUUUAUAGUUUCAAUAUACCCUUUUUUGGAAAAAAUGAGAAUAAAUUACCUAAGAAAGAAUGGGAAGUGAGCCUAUGUUAGGAAUGUAGGGAGGGCAGAACUUUCUUAGUCCAUCUGGGUUAUGGACUAAGUGUGCAAAAGUGGGUAGGUGGUGUCACUGAUGUCUGGGGAAGACCACCAUAGGUAUAGUGAUGAAAGGUUACUUAGGUUUGGGGACAGGUGACUUUUCUUAUAAUGAGUAAAACACCAAAGUAGCGUGUCUAUUAAGGAAUGCUCAUGCCAUCUGGUUAAGAUGUGAGCUGUAGUUAUCAUGACUGCUGAAUAUCAACCAUAAUUGUCUCACCAAGGUACAGACAGAAACUGGGUGCAGUAUCCAGUACAGCAUGGAAUGCAAACAGAAACCAAGCUUCAAAGAGCAAACCCAGUUGCAAUCUAAAUACUGGGAUGUACGGGACAGAAUCUCCGAUCAGUUGGGUCUCUGGCAGGCAGACACCAAGGAUCUGGGUACUCAGGGUUCAGAAGCCAGGACUCAGAAACCACUGCUUCAGAGAGCUGGAUACAACAAGGUGAAUGUCAAUCCUGGAUCAGGAGCUAUUUGCUGUUGACUUUUUUUUGGCCACAUGCUAGGAAUGUGUGUGUGUAUGUGUGUGUGUGCGCACGCAUGCACGCACAUGCAUGCUCAUGUGUGCACACACAUCAGGUGGGUGGGGUAGGGAGCUGGGCUCCAGGUAUUCAUAGGAGCCAGGAAUCUAGCAGCCUCUGAAAGAACCCUACUGCCUCCUGAGGCAGGGUAAGACUUGCUGUGUUGACCUCCCAGACAUGUGGACUUGCACAAUUCAUUUUAUAGUGCCUCUGCCUACAGCAUCUGUCAAUCUCAGAUAUUUAAAAUCUGCUUAAAAAUAAUAUAAGCAGAUUUAGUUCUUCAUAGUUCUCUUCUACUGUCCUUGUUUUUCCUUGUAUACUGAGAUCCACGUAUAAUCCAAUCCUGUCCCACACAGGCCUGGUUACAUAAUUAUACCUCCAACGGAAUAAUCUGCUGAGACCCAUAGUGGCCAUCACAUGUUUAUUAACUAUCCUCUAUCUCAACUUCUGAGCCUGAACCCCAUUACUGGCAACUCACUUCAGAAAUAGAAGACUACUUCUUCUCCAUGAAAUGUCUAUCAGAACCAGGAGGAGAAGGGGAAGUUGUUAAUUAAUACAAUUUCCAAAACAUAAAUAAUUCCUGCAACUAAACACAACUGGAAGUGAAAUGCAUGAGCAGAAUUGUCUGGAUAGUCCACCGGCUACUCCCAGAGGAGCACGCGGGGAGGUUCGGCAGCAAAGUCUGCUGUGAUAGCUACCUUUUUGUCACCUUCUCCAAGAUGCUCAGGGAAAGUGAAUGAAUCUUAAAGCUGUCCAAAUUACUCUGUUUCCAAAUUUAAAUCAUGAAAUAGCAUAUUGAAAGAACUUGGAACUUCCCUUACUUCAAGCCACUCAAAGAAUAUUCCAGGCUGUUUAAGCCCCUUUCC